UUGAAAGCCUUAGAAACUAGAGGUCUCUAUUUAUCCACAAAGCAGAAACACCACAGGCAGCAGUACUGCAAGCUUCCCCACAGUGUGAUUCAAUCUGCUGUGGAAGCUGCAUCACUACAGGUUGCAUUAAGUGGCACCCUUGUUGGCAAUCUGAGGAGAAAAAUCCA
rnacentral:sRNA from 1 species